rnacentral:rRNA from 1 species
AGUGAACGCUGGCGGUAGGCCUAACACAUGCCAGUCGAACGGCAGCACAGUAAGAGCUUGCUCUUACGGGUGGCGAGUGGCGGACGGGUGAGGAAUACAUCGGAAUCUACUUUUUCGUGGGGGAUAACGUAGGGAAACUUACGCUAAUACCGCAUACGACCUACGGGUGAAAGCAGGGGAUCUUCGGACCUUGCGCGAUUGAAUGAGCCGAUGUCGGAUUAGCUAGUUGGCGGGGUAAAGGCCCACCAAGGCGACGAUCCGUAGCUGGUCUGAGAGGAUGAUCAGCCACACUGGAACUGAGACACGGUCCAGACUCCUACGGGAGGCAGCAGUGGGGAAUAUUGGACAAUGGGCGCAAGCCUGAUCCAGCCAUACCGCGUGGGUGAAGAAGGCCUUCGGAUUGUAAAGCCCUUUUGUUGGGAAAGAAAAGCAGCAGGUUAAUACCCCGCUGUUCUGACGGUACCCAAAGAAUAAGCACCGGCUAACUUCGUG